ACGCUUUCCUCUCCUUUCACUUCCUCUCAUUUCGUCUCAGAAAUCGUCAGAUUCGCUGAAGUUUUGGCCUUAACUAUCUCUCUCUCUCUCUCUUUCUCUCUCUCUCUCUCUCUAUAUAUAUAUAUCUAUAUAUAUUGGUAUGUGGGCUGACAGAAGAGAGUGAGCACACAGCGGCGAUUGCAUCGAUCUGAUGCCUUAUCUGUUGCGUGCUCACGUCUCUCUCUGUCAGCUCUCUCUAUCCCUGAAAGCAUGUAGCGCUGAAGGCUGAUAAUAUCUUUGAUGGACUGGAAAGCUGGGUGUGCAGGUGAACAUCGUGUCUCUCUGGAGAGAUGACCACGAGGGUGUAGAGUUCAUGUCUGUCUUUUCCCUGUGGAUUCUCACUGUUAUUUUAUCUCGUCUGCUGGAUUUUCUGCAUAUAUACGACUCUUUUUCUUGCUCUCUCUGGACGUCUCUGCAUUUGUACUCUGUGAGACGUCUCGUCUGGCGCGGACACCCACGGAGAGGGGUGGAUUUCCGAGGCAAAGAGAUAGUACUGGUCGCAUGGACUAUUAUGUCCACUGAAUCGAGAUGGAAAAUCCAAGAGGAGAAGGAACACAUAAGAAUGAUUAAGGCGUGGUGGUGCAGAGAGGAAGCGUGACUUUUGAGGAUGGAUCUGUUAACGGGUAUCACUGUUUGACUGGUCCCAUCUCUUUCUGUUCCUUCUUUCUCCACCUCAUCUUCUUCUAUCUUCCCCACUUGCCGAACAACAAGUUCUUAUACAGAUCUAUCCUUGUCGAAACCAUGGAGAAAAAUCAUCAUCGUAUGAGAUCUCCAGACUCAGUAGUACCGAAGUUUAUGUCUUUCUUCAUGGCUGAAGAUGGAUCUUGAACUCUUUAAGUUUCAGAAGGCACAGAAAGAAGUAGAGCCUAGCAGAUCUGCGUUGCACCUGAGGGUAGUUUUCUUUCCCUUCUCUUACCGUAGCGUUUACGCUAAGUUUAUUGUCGCAGUAGUUUCCUAUUUCAUGGAUUGUUUCUCGCUCUACACUAGGCAUGGCUGCUGUUCCUUCUGGUCCAUACGUAUCAUAGACGGGUAGAUCUGUGUCUAGUGCUUUUACUCAUCUUUGGAUCUAUGUUGUUUCUCAUCUUAUCUUUUAUCUACAACUGCAGCUAAAUGUUUUGCCUUUCAUAUUCCGUGAAUCUGCCUAUUUCAUUCACCAGAGUAUUGUUUUGUGAUUUCUCAUCUUUUCUUUUACCUACAACUGCAGCUAAAUGUUUUGCCUUACAUAUUCCAUGAAUCUGCCUAUUUCAUUCACCAGAGUAUUGUUUUGUGAUUUCUCAUCUUAUAUUUUAUCUACAACUGCAGUUAAAUGUUUUGCCUUACAUAUUCCAUGAAUCUGCCUAUUUCAUUCACCAGAGUAUUGUUUUGUGAUUUCUCAUCUUAUAUUUUAUCUACAACUGCAGUUAAAUGUUUUGCCUUACAUAUUCCAUGAAUCUGCCUAUUUCUUUCACCAAAGUAUUGUUUUGUGAUUUCUCAUCUUUUCUUUUACCUACAACUGCAGCUAAAUGUUUUGCCUUACAUAUUCCAUGAAUCUGCCUAUUUCUUUCACCAAAGUAUUGUUUUGUGAUUUCUCAUCUUAUCUUUUAUCUACAACUGCAGCUAAAUGUUUUGCCUUACGUAUUCCAUGAAUCUGCCUAUUUCAUUCACCAGAGUAUUGUUUUGUGAUUUCUCAUCUUAUCUUUUAUCUACAACUGCAGCUAAAUGUUUUGCCUCACAUAUUCCAUGAAUCGGCCUAUUUCUCUCACCAGAGUAUUGUUUUGUGAUUUCUCAUCUUGUCUUUUAUCUACAACUGCAGUUAAAUGUUUUGCCUUACAUAUUCCAUGAAUCUGCCUAUUUCUUUCACCAGAGUAUUGUUUUGUGAUUUCUCAUCUUAUCUUUUAUCUACAACUGCAGCUAAAUGUUUUGCCUUACAUAUUCCAUGUAUCUGCCUAUUUCUUUCACCAGAGAAUUAUUGUUUUGUGAUUUCUCAUCUUGUCUUUUUUUUUUCUACAACUGCAGUUAAAUGUUUUGCCUCACAUAUUCCAUGAAUCUGCCCAUUUCUUUCACCAGAUUAUUGUUCAUCCUGGCUGUUGCUUUACGACUCCAUAUAAGACGUUUCAAGAUGAAAGAUAUUAUUCCAUCAACUCACUACCCGAUGAUAUGUUUCUUUAACAGCUGUUUGCAGCCCAAUUUUUACCAUAUUCCGUUCAUGUUAUGGAAUUUUCGAUUCCUUAUCAUCGACAAUGUUUGGUUUAUAUUGCCAUUACCAGAUAUAACUUCUGUUCUUGUGUUCUUUUGAAUACCUUUUGUUUUAAGUAGGCCCGAUGUUGCAGAAAGACUGCAAUCUCACAAGGAUAUGGUUUCCUAAGGAUAAGACACAGGUUAGUCACUUUGUUUGACAUAGAAAAAUGUUACAGUGGCAAUAGUAGCAAUCAUAAUAUUCAAUUUACUGUGAAUUGUCAAUUUGGAAACAUGGAAUAAUAAAUUGCCUCAACUUUGGUCGCUAAACUUUUGUCCUUAGGCAUUGGACUUCGAGUUUGCAGCCAUGAAUAAGGGCUUAUCAGAGCACAAAAUUACUUGAGAGAAAUCUUAGUGCAAAUAUUAUCUUUUUGAAGAUAAUUUUUGGAUAAUAAUUUUUUUUCUUGAUAAAUGAUGAUCGAUGGGAAUAUGAUUUAAUAUGAUAAGAACUUGUUGUUGGUUGUGAAGAACAUGAUUUCUCGAUUAUAGGGUUGGUUUGAAGAAUUGAUUUCUCAGUUAUAGGAUUGUUCAUACUCAUGCUGUUACUAUGACAUGCAAACUUUGGAUUCUAUAAAACGAUUGCAUAAAAAGACACUGAGGGUUUGAAGUAAUUGAAGAUUCAUAUUGCUAGUAUUUGUAUCUUGGCUAUGGAACGAGUGAUCUUUAUGCGAGUCGAUUUGUGAUCUUUUGAUUAAUCCAUACAAGUAGAUAAGCAUCAUCGUUCGACAUUUAUUGGUCUCUUUGCCAUUACAAAAGUAUUGAGGAUGAUUGGUUUUGACAAGUUUGCACUAGCUUUGAAGUUUAUAAUACAAGGCAUUAAUGAUUUAUUAUACUUGACUUUUAUUCUUCGAAUUGAGGUGGAAGCUCUUGGUCAGUCAUUUUGGUUGUAUGAUUUCAAUUUUUAUUUGUUGAGUCGUGAAACUUUUUUUUAUUUUCUUAUGAUUUAGAAAUUGCUAGUAUUUGUAUAAAAAAGAUUUUUGAAAUUUUGUUUGAAGUAAUUGAAGAUUCAUAUUGCUCCGCUAACAUUGAUGUUUUUUUUAUCUUCUUAUCUUGCAUGACAUCAGAAUUGUAAUAAUAAAAUGACUAUUAUAAAAAUGAGAAAAAUAGGUGAUCUUUGGAAUAAUAUUAAUCUUGUUCUAAGGGUACCCAUAUUUUGACUAUCUUGGGGUAGAACAUGCUUAUUCUUAACUUUGAUGGUAUGUUCAAUCUAAAAUGGUAUGUUGUUGAGGAUAGCCUCAUAAUUCAGUACACCUAAGCUACUAUAGGAGAUAUGAUUCUUUUUUCUCUUUUGUAUUCUUUUACAUGAUAGAACAAUGUAUUGUAAUAUCAUAAUCAUGAUGGAAUUUAAUUUUAUGUUCUCAGUUUUGUGCUUAAUGGAUCAUCAUAUGGUACUCUGAGUGAGUUUUUCAGUAAAUUGGUUUCGUAUUCAUUUAGCUCUCCUUAUUAGAAUGUAACUCUUUAUGUCAAUUCCACAAUACAAGGAAAUAUUAGGGGAAAAAGUAGUAACUAUGACCAUUGAGGGCAAACAAGAUUGAAGGUCUGAUACUUGCUACAACUAGCUUUCUUAUGCUAUGUUGUCUGGCACAUCUUGCUACGUAUCGAACCCUACACAAGAUUGAAGGUAUGAUGUUGGCAGCUACUAGGUUUUGAAUGUUAUAUUCUUUGGCACCUUUUGCUGUAUACUAUCAUAAGCAUUAUCUAUGAACAUGCAAAAGAGAAUUUUUAUGUUUCCUUGUUUUGCCAUCUUCCUCUGCCUUUUGUAUUAUCUUUUCCCCCUUUUCCCAUUUACAGAUUUAUAGUUUUAAGACUUUGUUGUUUUCAUGCUUUAGGAUGUCUAAGUUUCUAAUUACUUCAAUUAUUUUUUCAUGUUCUUUCUCAUUUUAUUGCUUAUUUGUGCAUAGUAGUUGAUGCUAUAUCGUAUCAUAAAAUGCAUGUCGCAUUAACUUUCUUAUACACAUUCAUUAGGGAAACAUUUUUUUCCCUUAAUUUUCAAUCUGUAAACUCUUUCCGCUCAUCCAAAAGUUCCUAUGUACACUUCUAAGAUCCAUGGUCCUAUAAUGUUCUUUUCUUUUCAACUACCAAAACUUGAACUCAUAUGCAAGAGGUUUUAGAGGACAAUUUAACAGUAAUCACAGUAUGCUCAUGUGCAUCCCUCUUACAUUAACAAUCAUGCUUGAAAUUUAUCGGCUUUGACGUUACAGUCUUUCUUUCAUGUUGAAUGAAGACCUCAGAUAUCUAAAACUUCUAUUCUUUUAAAAUUUCUUGUCAACUUGUUUUACAUGUUUGUCGUUCUUUAAUUGAUGAAAGUGAGUUAACUUGAUGUAUGAGACCUAUAUCUACUAAUUAUCUAUCAAUUAGUUUCUCAGGUUUUGUAUUUAUGGUUCAUGUCCAGAAUUAAUCCCAAUAAGGUUCUGAUCAACUAGAAAAUUAUUGUAAAUAAACAACAUACACAAGGGAAAAUGUCCUUGGUUAGUUCAUACAGUAUUGAAAUAAAAAAUUAAAGGACUUCAAAUUAUUCGUUUGACCUAACCCUAUACUGGUAGCUAAUGCUAUGCCCUUGUGUUAUUCUUCUGAUGCCGGUAACUUUAGUUAGAUAUCUUCAUCUUAUUUUUGUAUUUAUAAGAAUCUGGUUUUUGUGCGAAACCGAGUUAUGAAAGAUUUAAUUGGGUGAUUGCAUUGGUUAGUUUGCGGAUUGAAGAUAUUCAAAAGUUCCAUUAAUUGUGAAGCCGAAGUCCUUCAACUUCAUGAAUUCGCUUCUCUUUUACUACAUCCAAAACCAUAUGGGGUGAUUACUACUUGAAAACUUAUAUUCCAUUUGUUUUUAUUAUCGGUUCGGUUGUCUUGUUUUAGUAAUCAUACAGUGUAGCUCCUUCCAUCCUAAACAAAUUUAUGUUAAGCCGAUGGCGUUAACUUUCAGCUGUGAAAUAACCUGUAAUGUAUGUGGCAAGUCAUCCGACUUGAUCUUCGUUUUGCAGUUGCUACAGAAGCAAUGAACCAGUACUAGUCCAUUCAAAUACGUUUUACGGUCGUCGGUUUAUGAGAUGCCCUUAUCAAGUUAUAUUAUCUAAGAUGCUGUUGAAUCAAGCUGACUUCAUCUGUUGAGAUAUCAGCUCAGUAUUACUUAUUAGUAUAUUUAACCAGGAUCCAUCACAACUGGACACUUGUUAACUCAACCAAGGUUUACCAAUAGAGUUAGGGCACAGAUCAGUCAUUUCAACCUAAGAAACAGCUUAUGAUGAAGUUGUUUGACUUUGAAUUGAAUCUGAAUCCUUUUGAGCUGAAUUAGGUUACAAUUAGAAAGCUAAGCCCAGUAUUGGGUACAAGUAAUGGUAAUGGUGGUUUACCCAUUACCAUUAGUCUUGGUAUUGACCUGUGGUAAUGAAAUUACCAAGGAACAAGUAAUGUCAAUUCCAAAGUCAUGCAUGCAAGAUGGAAAUUGAUGUUGUCAAUUGAUGACCGGUUGAAGAUUGUGGGGGGGGAGUCUCUUUCAACAACUGGUGCAAAACGAGCAACAACAAUCACAAAGAAAAUACUGAUGGUCGGGCUAUUUUGAUCAGAAAUAGUGAGGAAAUACUUGAGGGAUAUAAUAAUCAGAAUCUUGAGAUAAAAGUCCAACAGCAGUCAUAUUAUCAAGUGUAAUUUGUUUCGCUGAUGAGAAAUCACAUGUUGCUUCAGAUUGUUUUCAUAGAUCAAUUAGAACACUCUGCAACACAUAAAAGAAGAUAUUUAGGUGUCUCAAUCUUUUGCUGUAUGGAUCUGCCCUCACGUAGUCCCUUGUUUUAUAAGAGUUUGGGGUCCUCCGGCACUAUGCUAGAGUAGUGCAAAACCUUCUCAGAUCGGUAUGGAGAGAAAUCCUGUGUUGAAUCUCGACUUACAAGGGAACAAAACAAUGUCGAAACUCUUCUUGAAACUCCUCCCAAGUUAGUAUGAAAUAAAUCAGACUGAUCCAAAGUCCAAACCAUUUUUAAUAGACUUAAUGAUGUUGUUGAUCUCAUCUUAGCCAAAAACUUGACCACCAAGUCUUUGUCUCACGGUAUGCUUGCUUUACUAGGAAAGGAAGUCAAGGAAUCGGCAGAGAUGUCCUAUCAGUACAGAAAUUCUCGUACAAGAAUUUGGUGAAUGGAGUAAGAAUAUGCAAGUGAAAAUGAAAAAUACUCAUACAAGAAUUUAAAGAAAGUUAUAAUUGUUUUUCCUGGUGAAAUUGAUGUUGAAGAAACAAAGGCAAGACCAGGGUUGAGGUAUGUAUGGAGGCUUCUUCUUUGUUGAUUUUUAGCUGCUAUAUUCUUCACAUGAUGAUUUGUAAUGUAUCUCGAAACCAAAAUAAAAUGCUGAAAACUAAUCUCAAAAUCUUGAAUGAAUAAAAAUGGCAAGACAGUUUCAUCAUAUUCUCUCCAAAAAGUUGAGAGUAAUUAUUGUGGUAUAAUUAAUUCACUACUGAAUCAUUUUGCAUAUUUUGUUAGUUAUAAUGUUGCAGAUUGUUAGAUGGACUUGGUGAAAAAAAUAAAAUAAAAUUAGAGUUGUCUUUCUUUUUAAUAUGCUUGCUAUCUGGUGGAGUCAUAAUUAAAAAAAAUGCAGUGUGUUAUGCCUUUAUUCUAAUGGUGUGUGUUCAAUUUGCAGAAAUAUCUGUUUUAUUUUGAUGAAAGAACAUCACUUGUUUUAUUGAUGUCAUUAUUAUGUCUUCCUAUUCCUUUUCCAUUUCAUCUCUUUUUGGCUUGCUUGUACAAUGAUGUUGCGUUUUGCUGAGAGAAACUAUAGCUAACUAUUAUUGCCAUCUAUGGUUGUCUCUGUCAUGUUAGAGGUUUGAAGCCAAUUUGGGUAUAAUUUUAUGAGAGAGAAUGAGAUGGUUUGAUAAAUGCCUAAGUAGGUUGGAAAGCCUUGUGGUUUUCGACGGUCAUCAAUUAUAUAUAUAGAAUCGUCUGGUAUUAUGCUUAUGAUGAGACAUUAUGGUUAAUGCUCAUAUGACUUGUAUAAUUGAGAUAAGAAGUCCGAUCGAGAUGGUAUUAAAGUCGAAAUGAUAUUAAGUUCAAAUUUUAGGAAGAUCCAUGUAAUCAAUUCUAAAUAGUUGAGACUUAAGACGUUAUUGUAUGAGACACCCGAUCGAGUUAUCAGAUUGAUGGGACAUCUAAUGUGAUAUCAAACUCCGUCAUCAAUAAUCAGGUAACUAAAGAUAAAUCCAUUCAUUAGAUUUGUUAUAUAUUCUUGAAUUUGGUUGGAGUACUUUUCAGUAUUUCCGGAACAACAUGACCUCUUGAAACCACAUAUAUUUUACCUGAGACAGUUUGGAUACGAUAUCUCAAUCCUCAUAUCAAGAAAAAUUGUGGUUCACGAUGUAAUCAAUGUGUCAGUCAAUAUCCAGUUGUAUUAGACUGUUAUUCUCAGCGAGUUCUGUGCUCUCCAUGUAUCCAUCUUACCUGAACACCUGGAAUCCUUUUCAUAUAUAUAGCGGCAGAUUUUAUUGCCUUUAGCUUGUGGGAAUCAGACAAAUCCAAAAGACAUUUGAUGAAUAUGUCAUGAUCAGUCCAGCAUAUAUUCUACACAUUUUACCUGCUCAAUGUAGCAGAAGGAUUCUAUCGACACAGAGACCCAAUGAUGUUAUUUUUCCUAGCAAGUGGAGUAACAGAGAGCCAUGGGAUUGAUCGUAAGAGAAGCAGGAGUCCAUGUGGAAACUUUACUUGUUCCUUUCACUGGAUAGCCUUUCUUCGACAGGGGCGUGGAAGAUAUCAUCGACUGUCAUGUUGACGGCGCUAAGAGGAAUCGGAGAGGAAGAUUUCAGAUUGAAGUUUGUGAUUUAUAGAGGAGAAGAGAAUGUGUUCAUAGUUUUAAGGGAAGAUGCAGCAGAUUCUGUGCAGGGUUCUGAGCAUAGCAAUUUAUGGUUCUGCCAACAACGUUGUCCAUCCCACUCACUGUUUACUUCAACCUCUCGUUCGUCUUUCUCUCUCUCUCUAACAUUCAUAGCACACAAUGUAACCCGCAGGAGGUAUGCUUCCAAACGAAGCAUUCUAUUUGCCUUUUAGUAGCCAUCUUACUCUUGCUACUUUAUGCCACCGUAGCUUGUACACAAAUAGAUGUAUUCCCAAGAGGCAAAGUGGAAAUAAGGUGACUGCCAUCCGAACAACAAAGAAAAUUAUCUCAAACUUCAUUCAAAAAGAAAAAAUGUGUACUGAAUUCAAUAAAAUUUACUUUUGUAGCUCAAUAUCUGUAACAAAAUUAUCCAAAGUCACAUUUUACAGAAAUGUGAGGAUUGCCAACACUGUUGCAGCUGUAUGUUUACAGAAACUUAAAACAAGAAAAAAAAAAAAAAUCCCA